GCCCGGCUAGCUCAGGCGGUAGAAUAUGAGACUCCUAAUCUCAGGGUCGUGGGUUCAAUCCCCAUGCUGGACU